CACUAGCUUGCCCAGAGUUACUCAGCUAAUAAGCAGCUGAGCUGGGACUCCCACUCAGCAAUGCAGCUCCAGGCCUGGCUGCUAACCCCUUCUUCCUUCUUGGCAGCUGCCUUCACAGAGGAAUUCAAGAGCCACAGAAGUGAAAACAGCCACCGUCAAAAAGAGCAGCAGUUGAAGGGCAAGUGUCUGCCAGCACUAUCUCUUGGGAAUGGAGAGAAAGAGCUGCCAAAACAGGAGAUACGUCUGACAUCCAGACAGCGUUAGCCGACUGGUUCCCAAGUAGGAGUUGGCUGUCCACAGAGAUGCCCUGUGUAGGUGAUAUGAAUCACAAAUACGCUCUGCCUUGAUUAAUCUCUAACAGUCAGAAAGUCGAAAGCUUCUUGUCAUCAUGUUCAAGCUUAGGAGUUUGGUUUUCCGUGGGCAGCUGGCUCUAGAAGGAUAUCACACGACUGUCUCAGGGUCCCCGAGGGAUGUUGUAAAAGCUGUCUGUAUGUGGGUCCCUGAAUUUGAGGUCGUGGGUGUGGAAGGUGAUGCACCAGGGAGUUGGCUCUUAGCUUACUGGGUCAGAUGUUUCUGAGAACCUUCUUCACCAGAGUUUACAGUUCAGUUUCAGAGGUGAAUGAGCCGUUUCAGAUGAUCAAAAAGAUAUGCUCUCUCAUAUCUCCCAGAGAAUAAUCUUUCCUUCCUCAGUUACUUUGAAACUGAAGUUUGCUGCCAGCGUAGGAGCCAAUCCAUUAUAUCAUAAUCAAUGACAUGAAUGUUUUGCUCAAGUUCAGAUGUCUAACAAGAGUCAUUUUCUUUCCGAGGGCGUGUUAUCAGUCUCAUGAAUAUAUGCUCUGCACUUCAUUAGCAUUCUUCUAGCAAAACACCAUUCUGAGUCAUUUCUGAAAUAUCUGCCCUCGCCUGCAAGUCGUUUCUCAGUUUUUACAAAAAUUGCCUUUUCUACUUACUGGCAGAAAAGUUUAAUACCACACAAGCCUAAAAUGGGUAUACUGAGAAAAACACAGCACACCUAUGGAGUUGUGACCACAGCAGGGCAUCGUGCUCUGGCCCACAACCUCCACCGAUGGAGGCUCAUCCACCUCCAGGCACAACCUCGCAAGGGAAUGCUGGGUGGGAAGUGAAGUUCCAUAUUAUGUGUAUUCACCACUAUGGCUUUCCCAGACCUUAAGCCAGAAGGAGGUUUAGAGAGCUUAUCAGGGAAUGUCAAGUGAAAGAGAAAAUUGGCACCCAUAUGUUAAGAGCUGCUUUAUGAGUGACCAUC
rnacentral:lncRNA from 12 species